CUGGGAGGUAGCGUUUCACCAUAUUGAAUUUGGGGAAGGAUACAGUCAGUCUAUAGCAUCUGCUUCCCUCUCAGAAGCCCGUUGCUGUCACAUGGACAAGCAAGCAAGAAGGAAGAUGAAAGACACAUGGCCCAGUCAACACUCCCUGCUGACUAUACAGCUAACCUCCAGAAGCAGAGCCACCUACCUGGCCUGCAGGGCCCACGGAAGGAAGACCCAUGGAGACCCACAGGUGAAGUAUAUUGAAUGGAAUUACAGCUUUCAGAGGAAAGAGCCAGAUUAUAAAAGGCAUAAUCUGCCCAUUUUCAACAUGGACAAAGGAAACUAGCAGAGCCA
rnacentral:lncRNA from 1 species